CCUACGGGGGGCAGCAGUGGGGAAUAUUUGGCAAUGGGCGCAAGCCUGACCCAGCAACGCCGCGUGAAGGAAGAAGGCUUUCGGGUUGUAAACUUCUUUUCUCAGGGACGAAGCAAGUGACGGUACCUGAGGAAUAAGCCACGGCUAACUACGUGCCAGCAGCCGCGGUAAUACGUAGGUGGCAAGCGUUAUCCGGAUUUACUGGGUGUAAAGGGCGUGUAGGCGGGAGUGCAAGUCAGAUGUGAAAACCACGGGCUCAACCUGUGGCCUGCAUUUGAAACUGUAGUUCUAGAGUAAUGGAGAGGCAGACGGAAUUCCUAGUGUAGCGGUGAAAUGCGUAGAUAUUAGGAGGAACACCAGUGGCGAAGGCGGUUUGCUGGACAGCAACUGACGCUGAGGCGCGAAGGCGUGGGGAGCGAACAGGAUUAGAUACCCUUGUAGUC
rnacentral:rRNA from 1 species